rnacentral:rRNA from 1 species
AUGGGUUACUUAUCACUUUCGCUUAGCCACUCAGCUCUCAAUCGAGCCAAACAGCUAGUAACCAUCGUUUACGGCGUAGACUACCAGGGUAUCUAAUCCUGUUCGCUACCUACGCUUUCGUCCAUCAGCGUCAGUAAAUUAUUAGUGAUCUGCCUUCGCAAUCGGUAUUCUAUGUAAUAUCUAUGCAUUUCACCGCUACACUACAUAUUCUAACCACUUCAUAAUUACUCAAGGACAACAGUAUCAAUGGCAGUUCUACAGUUGAGCUGCAGACUUUCACCACUGACUUAUUAUCCCGCCUACGGACCCUUUAAACCCAAUGAUUCCGGAUAACGCUUGGAUCCUCCGUAUUACCGCGGCUGCUGGCACGGAGUUAGCCGAUCCUUAUUCGUACGGUACCGUCAAGCUCCAACACGUUGGAGUGUUUCUUCCCGUAUAAAAGCAGUUUACAACCCAUAGGGCAGUCUUCCUGCACGCGGCAUGGCUGGAUCAGGCUCUCGCCCAUUGUCCAAUAUUCCUCACUGCUGCCUCCCGUAGGAGUCUGGUCCGUGUCUCAGUACCAGUGUGGGGGAUCUCCCUCUCAGGACCCUAUCUAUCGUAGCCAUGGUAAGCCGUUACCUUACCAUCUAGCUAAUAGAACGCAUACUCAUCUUUUACCGCCGGAAACUUUAAUCAUUCAAGUGAU